rnacentral:rRNA from 1 species
UACGUAGGGUGCGAGCGUUAAUCGGAAUUACUGGGCGUAAAGCGUGCGCAGGCGGUUCUCCAAGUCCGUUGUGAAAGCCCCGGGCUCAACCUGGGAAUGGCAGUGGAAACUAGGGGACUGGAAUCUGGCAGAGGGGGGUGGAAUGCCGCGUGUAGCAGUGAAAUGCGUAGAGAUGCGGAGGAACACCGGUGGCGAAGGCGGCAUCCUGGACCGACACUGACGCUGAGGAGCGAAAGCCAGGGGAGCAAACGGG